rnacentral:rRNA from 1 species
UGGGGAAUAUUGGACAAUGGGCGAAAGCCUGAUCCAGCAAUGCCGCGUGAGUGAUGAAGGCCUUAGGGUUGUAAAGCUCUUUUACCCGGGAAGAUAAUGACUGUACCGGGAGAAUAAGCCCCGGCUAACUCCGUGCCAGCAGCCGCGGUAAUACGGAGGGGGCUAGCGUUGUUCGGAAUUACUGGGCGUAAAGCGUACGUAGGCGGCUUUGUAAGUUAGAGGUGAAAGCCCGGGGCUCAACCCCGGAAUUGCCUCUAAGACUGCAUCGCUUGAAUCGUGGAGAGGUGAGUGGAAUUCCGAGUGUAGAGGUGAAAUUCGUAGAUAUUCGGAAGAACACCAGUGGCGAAGGCGGCUCACUGGACACGUAUUGACGCUGAGGUACGAAAGCGUGGGGAGCAAACA